UCGAAAGUCGAAACAGAA
rnacentral:snRNA from 1 species